AGCAGCACUUUUGCACAAUGAUAUUCUCUUCUUUCCUUUUUCACAUUUAUUUAUGCACCAUUUUCUUCUCCCAGUUCUAACUAACUUCACUCAUUUUCUUAAUUUUUGUUUUCGAACCAGAAUUGUUUUUGUUGACGGAACCACCUUGCCGGACUUCUCCUUCCGCCGUGUUCUUCUUCUUUUCUAAUGGUAAGUCGCUUAUUAUUCCAUUAUUUUGCUCAGUUCAUGCUUCGAAAUUAAAAAUCCCUAAUUAUUAUUUUUUGAAAACCCUAAAUCCAACAAUACACCAUUUUCAGAUCGAUUGGAUUGAUGUUUGUUGAAAAUUAUCACAUUGCCAGGUUUGUGUCUCAAAAUCAAUAUAGACAAAAAAUAAUAAUUAGUGUAGGUAUAGUUCUUGCAAGAUGAAGAAAAUUAACAAUCUAAUAGAAGAUUUAUGAUGAAAUUACAUAUAUUCAUAUCAAUGAAUAAAUUUGAAAUUAGGGUAAAUAGAAGGAGCGGCUAUUCAUGGCAAUUAGGGUGCUCAUGGUUUUGGAUCCACACACUUGAAGAAAAGAGCAGCUGGUAGCUGUUAAUCUGCCGCGGUUAUGCCAAAUUGCUCCAAAUUCAAAAUCUGCGGUGUGUUAAAUUGCGGCUUCGAUAACCAGCUUAGAUUAAAUGCUAGCUUUGGCAAUACAUGAAGCACGGAAACAGUGGACACAUACAUUGACACACCGGCACCGAUAAUAAUUAGAGUAACUGACAUAAUUCAAUGUAAUCAUAUGUGUCGGUGUCAGAUAUUGACAGGUGUGGAUCCUCUUCCAUGAAAAGUGUCUACAAUUUAAUCUCAACCACACAUUAUUUUUUUGUAGUUGGUUAUGUAAUAAAAAAAACAUUGAAUGGUGAGGAUAAAAUACACACUGGACCCUUGCAGUGAAAUCCUUACUGGAGAGGAUCCCGGCCCGAUAUCGACACGUGUCCGAUAUUGGGAGAUGCCUAAUCUGAUGAGUGUCAGUGCUUCACAGGUGGCGGUGAAAUGACUUUUGUGGCGGUCAAGUAGAUCGAAAACUUACCUAGUGUAUUGUAACUUUUCCACUUGAGGGGAUGCUUACUACCUUGUUUUCCCAUCUAUUUAGGAUAUUCUAGGAUUGUGUUUUAAGAUUGUUUGUAUUAGAAAUUUCUUAUCCUCCAGUUUUCUAACUGGCGUGGAAGAUUCUCUUGAUGGGAUGCUUUUUUUGCUUUGGUUUUCAUGUGGUUGCCAUGUUUGGGUUUCAAGAUGAGUCACACAACCUUUGUCUAGAACCAUAAUCGGGAAUAUCUUUCUUUACAUUCUUUUUAUCGUUAAGGAGGGUAUACAUGUACAUAUUUAUAUCUUCACUGUUUUAAUUGAUACCUUGCGUAAAAAAGGGAAUGCUAUUAGAAGCUUAAGAUGGUUCAUAUAAAAAAUAAUCUCAAGGUGUGUUUAAUAAAAUGAAGAACCUAUUUAUUUUUGGUUCAUAUUUUCUCUUGAAGUUUUAAAAAAUAUAUAAACAGGUAAUAAACUCCCCUGUUUUGCAUAUUGUUCAUUUCCCAAAAUACUCUAGCAGACAAAACUGAUUUAUCUGAAGGUUGUUGAUUCAUUGGCUUUAUUUGGUGAGGUUUCUUGUAUGUAGCUCCCUUCUUUGUUUCACUGUCUUAAAUGUUAUCCCAUCUAUAGAAUUUAAAUGAGUUAUAUGAUUCCUGUCAUUAUGAACUGAGUUUGAAAAAUGUGCACCAAUCAGUCAUUGACUGUCUAAGCUAUUAAUUUCUUCAUUUUUCUUUACAAUCAUCCGAUGUCUUUAGAGGGAACCUUUUUUUAUUGUCUGUUGUGUGGUCAUCUUGUCACAGGGUCUCAUGUCAAAGUUUGUGAAUUUAACUGCCCACAAUUGAAUGUCGCAAUGGAGGUUUGGCACUUAUGAUCAUUCUGGUCAUCAUGUCAUCGAAGAAUUAUAUGCAACGAGUUAAGAUUGUAGAAGGAGAGGGAGUCAGUACCUCUUUUUCCAGGCCUGUUCGGGCAUANNNNNNNNNNNNNNNNNNNNNNNNNNNNNNNNNNNNNNNNNNNNNNNNNNNNNNNNNNNNNCCGUGUGAUGGUAAACCUUCCUGCACGGUUCAGAGAGCACUGAAUUAGAAUAAGAGGUUCACCAUCACAUCAUUGCAUGCAAGGGGAGCUCGGUCGAUUUGAAAAUAGGUCCGACUCGUAAUUCAUGUCUUAAAUUAACAUUCAUAAUCCCCUUAAAUUUUUCACAGCUCAUUUGGAAUGCAUGAAAGGAGCAAUGUUUUCAACCAGAUGUUGUAGCAACGCCAUAGCAUAGCAGAAUUUUGACAAAUCGCUAUUGUUCAGCCAUAUAUAGUAUGAAGUUUUGUCAAAUUGCAGCUAUAGCAGCUAUAGCAGAAUUUAAACAAACCACUAUUUUCCGUGAUCAAAGAUUGACAGCAUUAUCUUUGAAUGAUUUCACAAAAAUUUAAGUUCCAUUCCCUUUUGGUUGGUGACAAUUGUUUACUUCAUUCAUUUUCUUGUAUUAUUGGCAGGAACUUGCUUUCAUGAAUUUUAUCUGGAAACCUUAUCAAGAACGUGAUAUACAUCUUCGAAGCAAGGAUUGCCAAGUAAGCUUCAUGUUGUAUUCAGGGGUUUUAUUAUUAUAAUAAUAGUUAGAAUAUAGUUGAAGUUGAAUUAAACAAGUUACUUUGUUAGAAUAGUUUGCUGAGUCAGUUAGUUGAUCACUUGAUAUGUAAGAUUUUAAUUCAAUAGAUUGAUUAUAGUUAGAAGAGUAGCCUUUUUGAAUUAAACAAGUUACUUUGUUAGAAUAGUUUGCUGAGUCAGUUAGUUGAUCACUUGAUAUGUAAGAUUUUA
rnacentral:lncRNA from 1 species